GUAAUGAGAGCUAGUGGACUAGAUAACGCCGAGGAACAAAUAAGUGUCCUAGAAGACAGGAUGACAGAAAUCACCCAAUCAGAACUGCAGACAGA